CGGAGACACGCCCAGCAUGAAGCGGGGCUGACCGAGAGCCUCACCUGGCCACUCCGCCAUAAUCCAAACCUUCUUCUCCCCGGAACUUGACCAUCAGUCGCUUCUUCAGAUCCUUUGGCCGCAUCUUCAUGAUCUGGCGAUAAGACUCCUGCAUGGCAAAAAAAAAAAAAAAAAGACAGCGUCAGAGAGAAGAACGGGUCGCAUUCUUACUGUUCUACAGAGAUUCAAGGUUGUUGGUAAUGGAGCCCGAAUCAGGAUAAAUAGUCAUUUAAAUCUGAGUUUGAUCUGAUUCCUAGUCAGAAUGUUGGUCUGAUGUCCAGUGUCUGAUGUGGGGUAGCCCCUGUCGCCUGAUCUCCCCGGGUGUCCCUCAGGAACAAGGAGCUCGUGCCGGGCAACGUCGUACCCAAAGGAAACGCACACCCCCAUUUUCAGCACAAUCGCUAAAGGCCUAGGGACAGACAUCCUCACCAGAGUCCAUUUUCUCUACACAAAUUGAUUUUAAUGAGGCCAUACUAAGAACGACUUGUGUAUUGUAACCAAAAGGAAGAUGUCACUGGAGAAUCUGAAUAGUAAAAGAAUUCGGAGCCUGUUUUUGUAUCUGAGGUGAAAAAUCCCAUAAUUUCCAGGGGGUCAAAAAAAGCAAAAAAGUAUUUAAAGUAAGAUCUAUGGGGGAAUGCCUGGGUGGCUCAGUCUGUUAAGCGUCGGACUUCGGCUCAGGUCAUGAUCUCAUAGCGUGUGAGUUCAAGCCCCGUGUCAGGCUCUGUGCUGACAGCUCAGAGCCUGGAGCCUGCUUGGGAUUCUGUGUCUCCCUCUCUCUUGGCCCCUCCCCCGCUAGCGCUCUGUCUUUCUCUCUGAAAAAUAAAUUAAAAUGUUUUAAAAAUAAUUUUUUUAAUAAAGUAAGACCUAUGGGAGCUUACCCAAAACACAGAACACAGGCGGCUAGCCUAACCUUCAGCUACUUUUUUGUUUUAAGUGCAACUAGCUAAACGCUUGUAGAUAUUUUCAGUGAUAAGGCACUUCAGACUCUUCCCCUGCUUUCAAUUUAAUGUAAUUCAAGCCUUCCCAUCCCCAGAGGGAAAGGGGAUGCUGAGUGGAAAUGAUCUAGCAGCAAAAUGUGAAGAAUGCAGCUCUUUUCCCUCCCUGCUCAAUGGCCAUUCUGGCCAAUCCAUCCAUUCGCCUAACCGUCGUCUGUGGCCGAGCAUCGAACAUGGCCCUGGGCGCUUUCAGCGCCCAGUGAGGACGGCACUGGGCUGCCUGCCGCUGUGUCUUCAGGUCUCACCCAGCCUCUUUUGAUCACUCCUGCCCAUGAUUCCACAAAGGCAGGCAGGACGCAGCCCAAACAUCACCGAGACUUUACCUUCCAAUCACCUGCCUUGAGGAAAGGGCCCUGUCUACAGGAGGUCCCGCCUGUUUGGUGGCCUUGAUCCCACAGGGGAGCUGUCUGAAAGACAACCCUUUCCAGGAACCAUCGGAUCUUCCCAUUUCCAGAAAAGACAAUAAAGUGGCCACUUGGCCCCGAAGCUUCUCUGAGGAGGCGAUGCCCUUAGGUGAGAUGGCAAGAGCAGAAGGAGGGAUUGGUUCUGGAGAAACCAUGCGGACUGCAGGAAUAUAUAACCGGCACACAGAAGAGGAUUUACAGUGUUACUUAGUGCUAGUUUCUGUGUGAGUCUCUGUAUUUUCGUUUCAGAGGCUCUCUAGCUUUUAAACUCCUACCACAGGAGGAAGUCCAGUCUGUCUCUCUAUAUGGCCAUCAAUCCUGAAAAAGCCCUGCAAUUCGCUGAGUGAUAAAAUCGGUACCCGAAACACCAAACAGAAAGAACCUGCUGUCUGUCAACAGGGUUUAACAGUCUAUGCCUCCCUGCUGGUCGCGCCGAAUUCCAUACCUCAAAUAUUUCUUCUCUGGACACUUCGAUGCGGCAAUGACCAGCUUGGGGUUGCUGAAGCGAAAGCUCGUGUCUGAGGACCUUCAGCUUCUGGACUAAAUCCCUCUCGUAUCUCUGGGCGGGAAGCUCCUCAUCCUCCACCGAGCCCUCGCUGGGCAAUGGCAGCGGCUGGCUGGGCUCCUUUAGUUGGCACUGGUGACUUGAGAAGAACAGAAACAUCAAGGUCACCCCAAAAGUAGCGGCCCAGGGAGCCACAAGCAAUGCCCCCCACUGGUGAGGGACUGAGAAGCGGGCUCAUCACACAGAACUGCAAGAAGAGAUGUUCCCUCUGCUGACAUAACCAUGUAUGAAAAUACAUAAACACUGACAGUGGCCACCACUGGCCUAAAUACAGAGGUCCAAAUAUGGCUUCAAUCAAGAAGAUACCCCAG
rnacentral:lncRNA from 1 species